rnacentral:tRNA from 1 species
GGGCCGUUAGCUCAGUUGGUAGAGCAGUUGGCUUUUAACCAAUUGGU